rnacentral:rRNA from 1 species
AUGUCUACUAGCCGUUGGGGUCCUUGAGACUUUAGUGGCGCAGUUAACGCGAUAAGUAGACCGCCUGGGGAGUACGGCCGCAAGGUUAAAACUCAAAUGAAUUGACGGGGGCCCGCACAAGCGGUGGAGCAUGUGGUUUAAUUCGAUGCAACGCGAAGAACCUUACCUGGUCUUGACAUAGUGAGAAUCCUGCAGAGAUGCGGGAGUGCCUUCGGGAAUUCACAUACAGGUGCUGCAUGGCUGUCGUCAG